AGGUGUAUAUGCUUGUGGUGCUUCUGACCUGGAAGAGAUCCCAGUGACACGAUCCUCCUGCACUAAUUCCUGAACAAAACGGGGGCCUUGGGUGAAACAGAAGCGGCAGUUUUGAGACGUUAGUUGCUGUGAUCGGCCUGCAGAAAGAGCAGAGGCCAGCAGUCUUUGGAAUUCAGGUUUUGGGCUGUGCGGAGACUGGGGCACUGCCAUGUCCGGAGCCGUUUGACGGGCCUAAGUAAGGGCAUUUAAUGGACUCAGAAAACUAAGCCACAAAAGAUGACAUCUGCACCCACCUCCCACACCAAACAUCAGCAGAAAGUCUUUUCCUGGCCCCUCACCUUUAUUUUAUAAUAUGCCCAAGCUACCAGAAAAUUGCACUUCAAGAGCCAGAAGGAAAGGAGGAGAUGUGGGCCAGAAUUAUAGGUAACCAGGGGAUUCUGUGUGCUUCUCCUGAGACAUUCCUCCUAAGAGUUUGCAACGAAGAUGCUGAGUACGCAGACUGUCACUUCAGCCUUCACCACAUAAUGACAUGGCGUGGUCAGGCGUAUCAUUAGGGCAUGCUACAAAAUGUUGUUUCUUCCUGCCUCAUUCUGGUCUCCCCAAACCUGAAUCGGUAAUUCCAGUGGGUCAGUUCUCCCCAGAAUAGAAGUAUCUCCAGAAGCUGCUGUGUGUUCCCACCACAUCACUGCGAUUACUGCAGUAAGAUUUUGGAGCGGGACCGUCUUGGGUUCAAGUUCUGGCUCCCAUGUGCGACUUUUGACAAGGGGCUUAAUGUCUUUGAGCCUAGAUUUCAUUAUUUAUAAAGUGAGAAUAUCUACCACAUGGCACAUUUAUAAAGAUAAAAGAUCAUGUAUGUACUUCGCAUUAUAAGUAAUACAAAGUAAAUGCUCAAUAAAAUGAUGAUUAGCCUGUGUUUUAUACCUUAAUAUCUGCUCCAACCUCGAUUAUAUGACAUCCUCCUGAUGGGACUGUCAGGAGGAUCCCUUCCCUCUUCAGGCCAGCAUCUCCCUGCUUUUGCCACAGCCCCUGUGUUAAAAAUCUUCAUCAUCAUCACACAUUUUCCCUGCUGAAAAGUUGCAUCACAAUGCUUACUGAACAACUCUCAAAUCCUUGUCUCUCCAUGAAAGUUCUCUGUGCCUUGACUCUUGUUCCCUUUCACUUGUGUCUUUCACUGACAGCAACAUAUGGACACGUGCUGCGUGCCGGGUAUGGUGGACGUAGUGUGAGCAAGACUGCAUCCCUGCAUCCAUGCGGCACAUGUAACCAGCUACAGUCACUACCCAGAGCUCACUGCCCCCCGGGAACACCUCACUCACUUACCCCAUUAAUGAAGGCAUGAAUACUCGUGCCUCGAGUAACAAAUAAGGGCUGCAACGUAGGCAAAGGUGAGGACAGAGAUCCAUCUCAUUGAAGGGAGGGUUCAGAGAGAAGGAAGACAAAUACAAAAAUGGGAAAUCCAGUCUCUGGUUUUAGCUUUAACACUAAUGGGAGUGUGGGGCGAGGUGCUACAGGAGCCAGUGCAGGUAUUUACAGCCAUGCAAGAGUCCCAAUCCAGUAGAGGUGGUUAGAGACGCUUCGCAGACAAAUUGUCAUGAGUGUAGGCCCUGAAAGAUGGGUAGGAUUUCUACAGCAUUCCAACCAGUGGGAAGAGCAUCAAACCAGGCCAGUCACCUUGGCAACCAGGUGUCACAUUACCAUCAGAGAAACUAAUUGUGCAUGUAAUGAUCUUAGGAUUGCUCAGCUACAGGCAUUCUGGUUGUCGAAAAACAGCCGUUCUCAAAUGUUGGUGUCCGUCGGCCUCACCUAGACAGCUAAUGAAUGGCCCAGACUUACUGAAGUAGACCGGUCUUUAGUAAACUUCAGUAAAAAUGGGCCUGAGCCUGUUUUUACCAACUUUCCCAGGUGAUUUUUGAAACACGUUACAUUUGGAGAACCACCGCCUUAAAAACUAAGCCAGUGCUUUUCCAAGUCUGGUCCGUGACCAGCAGCAGCAGCAGCAGCUGGGAGCUGCUUACAAAUGCGGGAGCUCAGAAUCCACCCCAGACCUACUGAAUGAGUAUGUGUGUAUUAAUACUAUAUCCGGGUGAUUCAUGUGGACGCUUAACUGUGACAGGAACUGAUUCAAACAAGUGGCUGUUAACCAGAGUUUCACACUGGAAUCACACUCUGGAAGUUUUAAAAUUUACUGAUACCUGAUCACACCCUCAGAUUCUUACCAUAUUUGUAUGGGCGUGGCCUGGACAUGGGUGAGUCCAAUGGGAAGCAGAGUCUAUAACUCACAGCUCGAAGGAAUUUCCAGGUGUUCAUGAUUCUUUGUAAAUACACCAAAGUAAUAUGGGCUCCUUGAUAUUUUUUCCUUGAUAGUUUUUGUUUUUUUGUGUGCAUAUGUGUAUCCAAAAAUUGGAUUGUACUGCUCACUAAUGGGAUUUUUUUUCACUUACAAUUAUAUCUGGUUAACUUACAUGAUGUAAUAGUUCAUUUAUAUCUCUGUAAGCCUGAAGAAAAAUCUGAUUCGAGAGAAUGAUAAAGCAAUUAUGGUAAAAAAUGGCAAGAUUUGGAGAAGUUAGUGAAAGGUAAAAGGAAAUUCCUUGUACUAAUUUUUACACUUAUCCCUUGAGUUUGAAACUAUUUCAAAAUAAAGAAAAAAACCACAUA